AUUGCAGUCUGCAACUCGACUGCAUGAAGUCGGAAUCGCUAGUAAUUCGAGAUCAGCAUGCUCGGGUGAAUGCGUUCCCGGGCCUUGUACACACCGCCCGUCACACCAUGGGAGUCGGAAAUGCCCGAAGUCUGUGACCUAACCGCAAGGGAGGAGCAGCCGAAGGCAGGUCGGAUGACUGGGGUGAAGUCGUAACAAGGUAGC
rnacentral:rRNA from 1 species